AGUGAACGCUGGCGGUAGGCCUAACACAUGCAGGUCGAACGGCAGCACAGUAAGAGCUUGCUCUUACGGGUGGCGAGUGGCGGACGGGUGAGGAAUACAUCGGAAUCUACUUUUUCGUGGGGGUUAACGUAGGGAAACUUACGCUAAUACCGCAUACGACCUACGGGUGAAAGCAGGGGAUCUUCGGACCUUGCGCGAUUGAAUGAGCCGAUGUCGGAUUAGCUAGUUGGCGGGGUAAAGGCCCACCAAGGCGACGAUCCGUAGCUGGUCUGAGAGGAUGAUCAGCCACACUGGAACUGAGACACGGUCCAGACUCCUACGGGAGGCAGCAGUGGGGAAUAUUGGACAAUGGGCGCAAGCCUGAUCCAGCCAUACCGCGUGGGUGAAGAAGGCCUUCGGGUUGUAAAGCCCUUUUGUUGGGAAAGAAAAGCAGCAGGUUAAUACCCCGCUGUUCUGACGGUACCCAAAGAAUAAGCACCGGCUAACUUCGUG
rnacentral:rRNA from 1 species